UCUUUUUUAUAGGUUUGCAUCGGUAUGUGUACAUAGUUUACCGUCAACCAUGUGGGAAGAUGAUCUACAAAGAAAAACACAUUGAUGUGGGAGACAUCGUGCCCAGGUACAAUUUUUCAAACCGGAUAUUUGCAGACAAGUACGGAUAUGCAGGGCCUUAUGCUGUUAAUUUCUUUACCACUAAGUCUCCUUCGCCCCAAUACACAUAGGUUCAAGUGUCGAAAAACAUUUGCAUCAACAGCAA